rnacentral:rRNA from 1 species
ACUCAAAUGAAUUGACGGGGACUUGCACAAGUAGUGGAUUAUGCGGUUUAAUUCGAUGACAAACGAAAAACCUUACCAAGGUUAGAAAUCUACGUGAAGGUUUCUAGAAAUAGAUUCCGUCCGCAAGGACUAGUAGACAGGUGAUGCAUGGCCGUCGUCAGUUCGUGAUUUGAAUUGUUCCCUUAAGUGGGGUAACGAACGCAACCCUCGUUGCCAGUUACAAGUGUCUGGCGAGACUGCCCCCGUCUGUGCCCUCGACUAGUUCGAGAGCAGAGACGGGGGAGGAAGGCGAGGAUGACGCCAGGUCAGCAUGUCCCUCUGAUACCUUGGGCCACACGCAUAAUACAAUCGCAUCUACAACGGGUCGCGACGGGGUAACCCUGAGCCAAUCCUUAGAAAAGAUGCGCCAGUUCGGAUUGGGGGCUGCAACUCGACCCCAUGAAGUCGGAAUUACUAGUAAUCGCGGGUCAGCUAUACCGCGGUGAAUACGUUCUCAAGUCUUGUACACACCGCCCGU